UGCAGUCGACGAAGUCUUCGGACUUUAGUGGCGGACGGGUGAGUAACGCGUGAGAAUCUGCCUAUAGGUUGGGGACAACAGAUGGAAACGUCUGCUAAUACCCAAUGUGCCGAGAGGUGAAAGCUUUAGUGCCUGUAGAUGAGCUCGCGUCCGAUUAGCUAGUUGGUUAGGUAAGAGCUGACCAAGGCGACGAUCGGUAGCUGGUCUGAGAGGAUGAUCAGCCACACUGGGACUGAGACACGGCCCAGACUCCUACGGGAGGCAGCAGUGGGGAAUUUUCCGCAAUGGGCGAAAGCCUGACGGAGCAAUACCGCGUGCGGGACGAAGGCUUUUGGGUCGUAAACCGCUUUUGUUAGGGAAGAAGAACUGACGGUACCUAACGAAUCAGCAUCGGCUAACUCCGUGCCAGCAGCCGCGGUAAUACGGAGGAUGCAAGCGUUAUCCGGAUUUAUUGGGCGUAAAGCGUCCGCAGGUGGUUUAUCAAGUCUGCUGUUAAAGCGUGGGGCUUAACCCCAUAUAGGCAGUGGAAACUGAGAGACUAGAGUACGGUAGGGGUAGCGGGAAUUCCCAGUGUAGCGGUGAAAUGCGUAGAUAUUGGGAAGAACACCAGCGGCGAAGGCGCGCUACUGGGCCGAAACUGACACUCAUGGACGAAAGCUAGGGGAGCGAAAGGGAUUAGAUACCCCUGUAGUCCUAGCUGUAAACGAUGACAACUAGGUGUUGCGCGUAUCGACCCGUGCAGUGCCGUAGCUAACGCGUUAGUUGUCCGCCUGGGGAGUACGCACGCAGUGUGAAACUCAA
rnacentral:rRNA from 1 species